rnacentral:rRNA from 1 species
AGAGUUUGAUCCUGGCUCAGGAUGAACGCUAGCGGCAGGCUUAACACAUGCAAGUCGAGGGGCAGCAAGGGUAGCAAUACCUGUUGGCGACCGGCAAACGGGCGCGGAACACGUACGCAAUUUACCUCUAUCUGGAAGAUAGCCCGGAGAAAUCCGGAUUAAUACUCCAUAGUAUAUNGGGAAGGCAUCUUCUUAAUAUUAAAGCUCAGGCGGAUAGAGAUGAGCGUGCGUCCCAUUAGGUAGUUGGUGAGGUAACGGCUCACCAAGCCAACGAUGGGUAGCUGAUGUGAGAGCAUGAUCAGCCACACGGGCACUGAGACACGGGCCCGACUCCUACGGGAGGCAGCAGUGAGGAAUAUUGGGCAAUGGACGCAAGUCUGACCCAGCCAUGCCGCGUGCAGGAUGAAGGCGUUCUGCGUUGUAAACUGCUUUUAUCUGGGAAGAAACCUGAGUAUUCUUAUUCAGCCGACGGUACCAGAUGAAUAAGCACCGGCUAACUCCGUGCCAGCAGCCGCGGUAAUACGGAGGGUGCAAGCGUUAUCCGGAUUCACUGGGUUUAAAGGGUGUCUAGGCGGAUAUUUAAGUCAGUGGUGAAAUCUCCAGGCUCAACCUGGAAACUGCCAUUGAUACUAUUUAUCUUGAAUUCUGUUGAGGUGGGCGGAAUACAUCAUGUAGCGGUGAAAUGCUUANAUAUGAUGUAGAACACCGAUUGCGAA